ensembl:lncRNA
ACGAUAAUAGUGCAAGGUGGAGAAGCACCUGCCUUUCUCUCUCCACAUGUAGUAGACUACAUUGUGUCAGGAGACAUUCUUCAAGUACACCUAACACCGGAUGAUAUAGGUGACCCUGAGUUAAGAGAGAAUCUGAAAAAGGUUGUAAAUGCAACAACUCAACAUGAUUUGGAGGAAGCAGUCAGCUGCUGCGACUCAUGGCGAUAUCAAGUUGAAGGUCUUCCACUCACAGUCACCAUGGCCAAUAAAGAUCUGUUUGUGAAAAAUGCAGCUCUAUACCUUGCAGUUCUGCAACGGCAAAGCUGUUUCGAUCAACUAACUGAUGGCUUGUCCUACUAUGGAAUUUUAUCACUCCUGAGAGAGAACCCCAGUUUGCGUGUUCUGCUUGACCUAUCUGGGGAGGACAAAGAUCUGACAGCCAGUUUAAUUGCUGGGGUUCUCAGGCCAAGCUAUUCUGUCCUUGGGAGCAACAGAAGAGUUAGAGAGGAGCUGAUGGUGGUCAAAUUUCGGGAAUUUCUCCAGUGUGUCGA